rnacentral:rRNA from 1 species
GUGGGGAAUCUUAGACAAUGGGCGCAAGCCUGAUCUAGCCAUGCCGCGUGAGCGAUGAAGGCCUUAGGGUUGUAAAGCUCUUUCGUGGGGGAAGAUAAUGACUGUACCCCAAGAAGAAGCCCCGGCUAACUCCGUGCCAGCAGCCGCGGUAAUACGGAGGGGGCUAGCGUUGUUCGGAAUUACUGGGCGUAAAGCGCACGUAGGCGGACUGGAAAGUCAGGUGUGAAAUCCCGGGGCGCAACCCCGGAACUGCCUUUGAAGCUCCCAGUCUUGAGUUCGAGGGAGGUGAGUGGAAUUCCGAGUGUAGAGGUGAAAUUCGUAGAUAUUCGGAGGAACACCAGUGGCGGAGGCGGAUCACUGGCUCGAUACUGACGCAGAGGUGCGCAAGCGUGGGGAGCAAACAGGAUUAGAUACCCGAGUAGUCA